CCACAUAUGAAUAGGCUCCAAAGGACAAAUGCCUUUGAGAUGUAAGGAAAACAGCAAGACCCAACCUCAGAUCUUCUCCAUAGGCAUAGAAGGAAAGUGAAGUCAUGAAGGGCCGAGUGGCCACAGAGGGGUUUUGAGCCAUGGGAAC
rnacentral:lncRNA from 1 species